rnacentral:rRNA from 1 species
CCGCGGUAAUACGGAGGGUGCGAGCGUUAAUCGGAAUUACUGGGCGUAAAGCGCGCGUAGGUGGUUAAUUAAGUCAGAUGUGAAAUCCCAGGGCUCAACCUUGGAACUGCAUUUGAAACUGGUUAACUAGAGUUUUGCAGAGGGUGGUAGAAUUUCAGGUGUAGCGGUGAAAUGCGUAGAGAUCUGAAGGAAUACCAGUGGCGAAGGCGGCCACCUGGACAAAGACUGACGCUCAGAUGCGAAAGCGUGGGAAGCAAACAG